UCCGCAUGGAAGGGCCAUCGCUCAACGGAUAAAAGCUACCCCGGGGAUAACAGGCUUAUCUCCCCCAAGAGUUCACAUCGACGGGGAGGUUUGGCACCUCGAUGUCGGCUCAUCGCAUCCUGGGGCUGUAGUCGGUCCCAAGGGUUGGGCUGUUCGCCCAUUAAAGCGGUACGCGAGCUGGGUUCAGAACGUCGUGAGACAGUUCGGUCCCUAUCCGUCGUGGGCGUAGGAAAUUUGAGAGGAGCUGUCCUUAGUACGAGAGGACCGGGAUGGACAUACCUCUGGUGUACCAGUUGUCGUGCCAACGGCAUAGCUGGGUAGCUAUGUGUGGACGGGAUAAGUGCUGAAAGCAUCUAAGCAUGAAGCCCCCCUCAAGAUGAGAUUUCCCAACUUCGGUUAUAAGAUCCCUCAAAGAUGAUGAGGUUAAUAGGUUCGAGGUGGAAGCAUGGUGACAUGUGGAGCUGACGAAUACUAAUCGAUCGAAGACUUAAUCAA
rnacentral:rRNA from 1 species